rnacentral:lncRNA from 1 species
CCCUGGGGCAAGUUUGGGCGAAAUCGACGCAACCUGAAUAUCAAACUGUAGUUGGAUAAUCAAAGUGCUGCUAAAUUGACAGCAGUGUUGGUCCGAGGGGCUGAAUUUCGGUGAAUUUGAUAGCAAUUGAUUUGAAUUUUGCUCAGAUGGGUUGUGAAUUUAUAUUCAGCAUGUGUCACAAACAUGGAAAGGCAAGUUUACAAAGGACAGGAGACUUGGAAAGGCUUCAAUUGACGUAGCCGAAGAUAGACCGACCCCAAACGGUGCCCAGUGCAAUCAUGCUUCUGGUGCGGAGUUGUCAGGAUGGAGUCCGAGGAAUCAAGGAAGGCAGAGGACCUGCGUAUGAAGGAACCAGCCCUGCGGAUGAAGUUCUGAGGUGCAUACAGAGGGAUCCCACUGAAAGACCAGGUGCAAUGCUGCAUUGAUAAGAUCCAGAUUCAAGAGCAUGGAUGCUACCAGAUCCUGUGAUUUGAAGUUACCAGUGUCACUGCUGCUACAAAUGACAUCAGCAGCACUUUCUUUGGUGAAAGUUUAGAGGAGCAAACAGUUGGUGCUCUGUGUAGUCAAGCAGUGGAGUUUUGCCACAAUCAUGAAGUUGAUUAAGGUGUCAAUUUUUGCUCUGGCUUCUGGGACACCUUGGAUCUACAUUGCAACCUAUGCUAGUGUUCAACAUUUCGUGUCAUAGUAUCACUGAUGCAAAGCGUGUUGCAUCAUACACAAAUGAGAGCCAGCAAAUUGUCAGACAUUUUCUAGUGAUAGAGAACUGCAUGCCUUAAGCAAUUGUUGAAGGUGAUAAGUGGUGAAUGGUAGGGCUCAGCCACUCGGCUCCUUCCUUCAAAAGUUAUCAAUCAGCUCUAGAAGAGUAGUCAUAGCAAUGCUUCAUAUGUGAAGGCUACUUGCCUGAACGGAACAUUGUGGAUUUGUUAAUUAAGUACCUCUUUAUUACAAGUUUGUGCCCAUUACAAGCCAAGCUUAUUUUACUUAGUUUGUUGCAAGUUUUCCAGGCAGCCUUCACACUUGUGUCGCUGAAUAUUAAACUUUAACUGAUAGACCGACGAGAUAUUGUCCCUUUCGCAUCAGAUUGUAACCAGUCAGUGGUGUUGGUAGAAGGUACAGUCUGUCUUAAAAGUACCGCGCAAAGUGACGGUGGAUCCAUCAAGCCUGACCGAAGAUUGAGGAAGGGCCUGCUAUAAUUUGAAAGUCACCGAACCAAUUGACCUGGGGAACGGACGAGGAUGUCAUAUAGAGCCACGCAGAAAUCGCCGGUCAUAGACAUAGACAUAGACGUGUAUUGAAGCCAUCCACGAUACACUCGUGGCUAUUACGGCCGCUCGUACAGGGCUAAAACUCUGCAUGGGAGACAUAACAUAAAAUAACGUGAUAAAUACGCUCAAAGCCCGUACACACAAACAAACAUACACAUGCACUCAUACAGACUCAUGGCCGCUGUCUAAGUCACCUCGCCUCCCCGUAGGUGGGAUUGGAGGUGCCGACCAAAUAGGUGGGCCGGGAGACGCGUCAGUUCUGACGGGAGCUGGUUGUAGGCGAGGGGCGCCCGGCAGCAGAACCGGCGCUGCCCCAUCGCUGUCCGCGAUCGUGGGACUGACAGAUUGCGGUCCUGUCUGGUGGAUCGCUGCCGCGUCUGCGAUACCUGCACCAGCUGGGCAGCCAGGGUUUCUGGCUCGCCUGAUCGCCGCACCUUGUGCAGCAGGCACAGAGAGUGAUACUGAGCAAGCUGCUCAGCGCUGAGCCAGCCCAAGUUAUCCAGCAGGUCCGAUACAUGGUCGUACUUUUUGCGGCCGAAAAUCACCUUUGCAGCAUAGUUAAUUAUUUUUUGGAGCCGAGAGAGGUUUGUCUGCGUGCAGUUGCCGUAUACUGAGAUGCAGUAUCGGACCUGCGAGAGAACGAGGGCUUGGACGAUGACGGUGACAGACGAUGGUGGGAGGUGGUUCCUUAGAUGUGAUAGACCAUGAAGGGUUCCGAAACAGCGGUUUGUGAGAGAAGAAAUGUGACUAGUCCAGCUGAGCGUGCUAUCGAAUGUUAAACCGAGAUUUCUAACUUCCGAGACAGGGAGUAAAUCAUGAUCGCGGAAUUUGACAGAGAGGCCGGGAACGUUGCGCAGAUUUUGAGAGCUUCCCAACAACAUCAGCUGAGUUUUUCCUGCGUUAACUUUGAGGCCGUUGGCCUGGAACCAAAGGUCGAUGGAAGUCAGCACUGCUUCCAUCUUCCUGACCACGCUUUGCAUGUCAGAUUUUUUGCCAGAGACCAGAAUUUGUGUGUCAUCGGCGUACUGUGCUACCACUGCAUCUCCGGUGAACAAGGAUAAGUCGUUCGCGAAGACGCAGUAGAGCAGAGGGCCGAGAGCAGAACCUUGGAAGACGCCGAUGUUGUUGGGAAGAGGAGAUGACUUUUUGAUGUCAUUCGUUGCCCAUCAUUACAGAAUGAACGCAUGCCGGAUGAAGGGUUAAGUCAAUAGUCUGUACAAACUACAGGGAUGUGAUUGACUUAUCUGACAGUGACGAGCGCUAGAGGUCAACUUAAGACCGUAGGUAUGCGUUCUUGUCAUGGAAUGUGUGUUGUAAAUCGAUUGUUUCAUGCGUGUGAAUAUAUGUCUGA